AGCAACGUCAGGCUCUUCCAGAUCGCGUCAACCAUCCGUGAUUCAAGUCUUUUUCCCUCCACGGAUGAGUUCAGCUCAACUUCUCCACGUCCCAGCUACUUCCACGACCGUGCAUCUCAGCGUGAUCCUUAUCCAGAUACCAACUGCAAGUAUCCAAGGACCAGAGCCGAUCUCCCGUAUCAUGGCUUCCGAUUCAUCUUCCUAACAUUCACGGAUGAAUUCCUUCCACGCGAUCCAGCCUUCUGUUAUCCAUAAGCUUCAACUCCAACCUCUCGACGGAUCAGCAUCUUCCAAGAUCUCGCCAUUCAUCACGGACGUUAUCCAUCCUUCUCUAAGC
rnacentral:lncRNA from 1 species